AGUGGCCAAGCUCUAUUCAUAGCAAUACUGCCAAACCAAACACCCAAACUUUCCACAAUUUUAUACUGAAACCCUAUAUGUUCCAAGAUAAUGAAUACUUCCAUAGCAACAAAAGUCUGACAAUAAACUGUUACCUUGAUUUUCACAUUUUCAAAGAAAAAUCCCUCAAUGGCAACCAAAACCAGAAGUCUCAGUAAUGAAUGUACAAUAAUGGCAACAAGCAAUCUCUACACUCAACAUGGAGCUCGAACUCAUAACCCCAAGAUCAAGAGUCAACCAACUGGCUUUAACAACUGAGGCAGACGGGUGUUCUAGGAUCACUACUUUCAUAAAAAGACCCCGCCAAGUUCCCUGGUCCUCUCUGCUGUGUGAGGAUGCAACAGGAAGUCUGCAAGCCAGAAGAGGGCCUCACCGGAACCCAAAUAUGCUGGUACUAUGAUCUUGGACUUCCAGCCUCCAGAACUGUGAAAAUUAAUUUCUGUUGUUUAUAAGCCACUCGGUGUGUGGUAUUUUGUUACAGCAGCUCAAAGGACGCUGAUAAGGACCCAGCCCCUUCACUCUACUCCUUCUCCGAUAACUUUGCUCCAAGCCACUACCAUUUCUUGCCUCAGUUAAUUCAACAGCCUCAUAACCAAUCUCUCUGCCACCACCUUCCCUCCCUACAGUCUAAUGUCAACACCACUGCCAGUGAUCCUGCUAAAUGUGAAAUAUCACUCUGCUGCUCAAAAUCCU